rnacentral:rRNA from 1 species
UACGUAGGGUGCAAGCGUUGUCCGGAAUUAUUGGGCGUAAAGAGCUCGUAGGCGGCUCGGCAAGUCGGAUGUGAAAUCCCUCGGCUCAACCAAGGAAGUGCAUCCGAAACUGCUGAGCUUGAGUACUAAAGAGGAUCGCGGAAUUCCCGGUGUAGAGGUGAAAUUCGUAGAUAUCGGGAGGAACACCAGUGGCGAAGGCGGCGAUCUGGGUAGAUACUGACGCUGAGGUGCGAAAGCGUGGGGAGCAAACAGG